rnacentral:ncRNA from 2 species
CAUAUGUUUCAAGGGGUGGUGAAAUUCCACACCGGCGGUGAUAGUCCGCUAACAGACCCGCGCGGUCUGCCGAAUCGGUGAAAUUCCGAUACCGACGGUAUAGUCCGGAUGAAAGAAACAGGCU